UACGUAGGUGGCAAGCGUUGUCCGGAUUUACUGGGCGUAAAGCGCACGCAGGCGGACCUUUAAGUAGGAAGUGAAAGGUUGGAGCUCAACUCUAACACUGCUCCCUAUACUGGAGGUCUUGAGUGCCGGAGAGGAAGACGGAACAAGUUGUGUAGCGGUGAAAUGCGUUGAUAUAACUUGGAACACCAAUGGCGAAAGCAGUCUUCUGGACGGAUACUGACGCUCAGGUUCGAAAGCCAAGGUAGCAAACAGG
rnacentral:rRNA from 1 species